rnacentral:lncRNA from 1 species
AUGCCUGCUUUCUCGUCUCCAUCUUUUCACCCCCAUGUUUCCCUUGUCUGUUUCUCUGGCCCAUCCCAGCAGAGGCGCCAUCUCUCAGACGACUCUCGGGGUGACCUGCUGGGGCCUCGGGGAGGGACAAGCCUCCUGGGGACAGAGGAAAAGGAAGUAAAGAAGCCACUGGAGGAAGACCUUUGGGGGAUCUCGAAUCCUGGAAGCAAGAUUCGCCCACCUGAUCUCAUUUCCACUUCACCUCGUGUAUGAAGUGGCUUCGGUCAUGGAGUGGCCCCACUUUUGAGAAGGCCCUGCUGUCGGUAUCUUUAUGAAAAUGAUGAACAUUUUGGAGUCAAGUCUGGUUUAAAAUAAACUCUGUCUGAAUUUUUUCAUUUCAGGAUCUCCUUUUUUACACGACUGCUUUUUAUAUAUUUAUAUUUGAAAAACAGAGUGCCUGUAACAUAAAGUAAGUCAUCGCUGGUAAAUACCGGAUUUUUCUUAUAAAUGUAUCAAAAUUAUAAUAAUGAUUCAGAGAUUGUCAUAGAGACUGUGUUGAAAAAGCAAAUAAAAUCUGUUUCUUGUCCAGUGGUGAUGUGUUUCGUCAGGUGAGGUUGGAGAGCUGACUUUCUAUCCCCUGGUUUUUCUCUCGUGCAAAAGAAAGCUUGGUUUGCUUGCUUCCACAAAAGAGAAAAUGUAUGAUAUUGAACACAUCCUGUGUUAACUGGUUUAAAAUUUCACGCCUUGGUUCACUGUACAAGCCGUUACAUGCUGGACAUCCUGUUCACUCUGAGAACGUGGAUUUGGGUAAAGCAAAGUUUCUGAUGUUAAUUAAUCAUGAAAGGUACAUUACAACACAGGUUUAUAGUAAAAAUACAAAAUCACCUUUCAUUCAGAGGAUGAAGAAGACUCAGGUGUGUCUAACGGGAAGCUGAUAGGAUGUAAUUGGAAUUUGGGGCCUUCAGAGAUUAACUGGGAAAAAGAAAGCUCUACAAAACACAGCUCUAAAACACAAAUAUCUAUGAAAAGAAUUUAUUUUGAAGGUACCUGAGCAAUUAAAAAUAUUUUUAAGGAGG